AGAGUUGAUAUGGCUCAGGACGAACGCUGGCGGUAUGCUUAACACAUGCAAGUCGAACGAGACGAGAUGGAAGAAUCCUUCGGGUAGACCGGGAAAAUCUUAGAAAAGUGGCGAACGGGUGAGUAACGCGUGGGUAACCUGCCCUAUGGAAAGGAAUAGGCCUCGGGAAAACUGGGAGUAAUGCCUUAUAAUAUAGUGAAGUCGCAUGGCUUUGCUAUUAAACGCUCCGGUGCCAUAGGAUGGACCCGCGUCCCAUUAGCUAGUUGGUGAGAUAACAGCCCACCAAGGCGACGAUGGGUAACCGGUCUGAGAGGGCGAACGGUCACACUGGAACUGAGACACGGUCCAGACUCCUACGGGAGGCAGCAGUGGGGAAUAUUGCGCAAAUGGGGGAAACCCUGACGCAGCAAUACCGCGUGAGUGAAGAAGGUUUUCGGAUCGUAAAGCUCUGUUAUUGGGGAAGAAAAAAGACGGUACCCAAGAAGAAAGUCCCGGCUAACUACGUGCCAGCAGCCGC
rnacentral:rRNA from 1 species